rnacentral:rRNA from 1 species
UACGAAGGGGGCUAGCGUUGUUCGGAUUUACUGGGCGUAAAGCGCACGUAGGCGGUUCGUUGUGUCGGCGGUGAAAUCCCCGGGCUCAACCUGGGAAUGGCCGUUGAAACUGGCGAACUGGAGUGUGGCAGAGGGGGGUGGAAUUCCGCGUGUAGCAGUGAAAUGCGUAGAGAUGCGGAGGAACACCGAUGGCGAAGGCAGCCCCCUGGGCUGACACUGACGCUCAGGCACGAAAGCGUGGGGAGCAAACAGG